rnacentral:rRNA from 1 species
UCCGGUUGAUCCCGCCGGAAGCUACCGCUAUUGGGGUUCGAUUAAGCCAUGCGAGUCGAGAGUCCUCGGGACUCGGCGUACCGCUCAGUAACACGUGGGUAACCUGCCCUAUGCUGGGGAAUAACCUCGGGAAACUGAGAAUAAUGCCCCAUAGCCCACUACGCCUGGAACGGUGAGUGGGUCAAAGCCCCGGCGGCAUAGGAUGGGCCUGCGCCGUAUCAGGUUGUAGGGGGUGUAAAGUGCCCUCUAGCCAUCAACGCGUACGGGUGUUGGGAGACAUUGCCCGGAGAUGGAUUCUGAGACACGAAUCCAGACCCUACGGGGUGCAGCAGGCGCGAAAACUUGGCAAUGCGAGCAAUCGUGACCAGGGAACUCCAAGUGCGUAGGGUAAGACCUACGCUUUUCUAGACUCUUCAAAGGUCUUGGAAUAAGGGGUGGGUAAGGACGGUGCCAGCCGCCGCGGUAAUAUCGGCGCCUCAAGUGGUAGUCGCUUUUAUUGGGCCUAAAACGUCCGUAGCCGGUCUGGUGCAUUCGUGGGUAAAUCAACCCGCUCAACGGGUUGAAUUCUGCGAGCACGGCCAGACUUGGGACCGGGA